AAGUCUACGGAUAGACAAUUGAAAAUCGAAAACAAAACUGGAAAAACGAUGAAAUCAAAUUGUCUUACCUUAGCCUCAGCUUCAUAUCCAUUUUUUGGGUCUAGGUAUGCCGUCCGGACAACGUCAAGAAUCUUGAGUGGAGCCGGAUAG
ensembl:ncRNA C29F3.9 ncRNA